UUGUGCCUUUAGAUAAAUUAACCACUAAAGAAUAAUUUUUCGCUUCUCUCAUUCAAUUCUCAAACCCCCAAACCCGGUUUUAUAUGCUGGGUCUGUUUUGCAAGCGUUCCCAGAAGUCUGGCGAUGUUGCGCCUCUGGGUUUAGAAACUCUUUGCUUGUACUAACCACGUCCCACGGAAGCAUUACUAUGGCGACGAGAGUGUUUGGUGGAUGUUUUGUAGGUGAAACAACAGCACUGUUUUAAAUGGAGAAGUGAUGGAAGUGAUGGAAGUGGCACACACUGCAUCAGAGACAUUCACAGACAGUCAAAGGAAGAAGACACCCUCGGCCCCUGUGCCAAUUGGUGGAGGACAGAAAAAGAAGUCCCUCUGAUGUCCCUCAUCACCUACUAGAGACCCAAACCUAUACCAAACUCAAGAGCAACAGUGCAAUCCAAGCAGAACCCUCAGCACUUCACUUCAGUGGGUUUAAACUGGGGAAGGAUUAUCAGAGGAGCUUGAAGCUUAUCAACAUAUCAUCUGAAGUGAUCAACAUUCACAUUAUCCCAACCCAAACAAAGCAUUUCAAAACAAAAUAUUUAAAACAGCAUCCCCGGACUGUCCUACACAGUGAAAGUACACUUCUGUCCUGAUGAAUGGCGCUACUUCUAUGACUGUAUUCGGGUUCAUUGCAAGUGUCAACCAUGUGAUCCCUCUGAGCUGCAGCUGUCCCAUUGACUUUGAGUUCCAGGUGUACAUCAUCCAGCCACACAAGGCCUUCUCUGUCCAGCCCCUGUCAGGAGUGAUUCCAGCCAAUGGGAAGGUGGAGGUGACCGUCACAUUCAGACCGUUCCAGUAUGACACGUCCCAGGUCACUCUACAGGUGGUCAUCUCCCAGUUCAACCCCAAACCCUAUGUCUGCACCCUCAGCGGGUCCUCCUCGCCCCACCUGACACUUAGGUAUGCCAGAACCAUUUUGAAAUGUUAAAGGUUAGUUCAUCAAACACUAUAUUGAAUUAUGCCAUUUUUACCAGGUCAUAGUUACAAUUAUGUACAUAUUUGAUAUAUGGUCAGCAAAGUUCCUGUUUUCUUGCUUUGUGUCACGUUAUUGCUUGUUAUUUUGUGUCAUUGUGAGUUCCGUCAAUUGAUGCACUGAGCCAAAUAUAUUUCUUUACUGAUAAGAAUGGAAAAUAUGUGAUUGUUAAGUGGUUACAAUAUCCUUGUGUAAACAAUGCUUACGCACAUUUCCUAGAACGAGUGCUAUGCACAUAAGUGCAGCACAUGUACUGUUCUGACACUCUCUGUCUGCAAACUUUGAAAAUAGAAAUUGUACAAACAUUUAGAGAGAUAAAAAAUGAACUCUUGCAGAGAAGAACCAUACAAGUGCAUACUGUUCCAUUUUCAUAUAAUCAAAUGUUUCUCUGUUUCUAAGUGUGCAUAUAACACAUUAGGGAUUUUAUAGUUGAUAGAUACUUGAAUAAACCCCCCCCCCCCAAAUUUUUUACAAUUUUUUUAUAAUGAUGUAUCAUGUUUAUCUACAUUUCUUGAAAAUGCACAUAUAUGGUUCUUCUGCACGAUUCUAGUUAUGAUGAUAUCCUUUUGUUUAAUUGAUUUCUGUUCAUGGCUAACUUCUUUGUUUAAGUCCUGGGCUACAGACUCAAAACCACGCACGGUCACUUAUAAAGAUAAACAGGUUAUUCUUGUUUCUAGUCUGUAUAUAAAAUAUUAUUUUUGAUUCAGUUCCCAUGAGAAAAUGGGUGCACUCCAUCACUGACAGUGGACGAGUUUUACUCCCCUGUGUUAUGACUAAGAGGAGUUAAUGAUUUAUCAAGCAAGGGAACUGCAGUCAUAUCAAAAUGCAUCGGUAUCCAAUCCAUUCAAUGUGUGUGCUUCGGAUCAAAUAUUCCCAUGUUUACUUCUCCCUGGACUCGCAAUAAAAGAUACGAAGAUAAGAUAUGAAUGAGUUAAUUGAAGAAUUGGCGGGUUGAGUUGCACCCUCUUUUGCCCUCAGAACAGCCUCAAUUCAUCUGGACAUGGACUAC